rnacentral:rRNA from 1 species
CAAUAGCGUAUAUUUAAGUUGUUGCAGUUAAAAAGCUCGUAGUUGGAUUUCUGGUACAAUGCGCCUGGCCCGCGACCGUUAGGUCUGUGAGUGCCGGUGCGCGUUUGCCAUCCUUCUAGAAAACGUUUCUACCCUUCACUGGGCCGGACUCGCGAUCUAGAUCUUUUACUUUGAAAAAAUUAGAGUGUUUAAAGCAGGCUUUUGCUGUGAAUACAUUAGCAUGGAAUAAUAAUCUAGGACUUCGGUUCUAUUUUGUUGGUUUCUAGUACUGAAGUAAUGAUUGAUAGGGAUAGUUGGGGGUGCUAGUAUUGGCCGGCCAGAGGUGAAAUUCUUGGAUUCGGUCAAGACUAACUUAUGCGAAAGCAUUCACCAAGGAUGUCUUCUUUAA